rnacentral:rRNA from 1 species
GACGAGGGAUCCUAGCGUUGCUCGGAAUUAUUGGGCGUAAAGCGGGUGUAGGUGGCUUGGUAAGUCGGGUGUGAAAUCCCAGGGCUCAACCCUGGAAGUGCAUUCGAUACUACUGAGCUUGAGUGCGAGAGAGGUUAAUAGAAUACCUGGUGUAGUGGUGAAAUACGUAGAUAUCAGGUGGAACACCGGAGGCGAAGGCGGUUAACUGGCUCGACACUGACACUGAGACCCGAAAGUGCGGGGAUCAAACAGG